UACGGAGGGUGCAAGCGUUAUCCGGAUUCACUGGGUUUAAAGGGUGUGUAGGCGGGUAUUUAAGUCAGUGGUGAAAUCUCCAGGCUCAACCUGGAAACUGCCAUUGAUACUAUAUAUCUUGAAUCUUGUUGAGGUGGGCGGAAUAUGUCAUGUAGCGGUGAAAUGCAUAGAUAUGACAUAGAACACCAAUUGCGAAGGCAGCUCACAAAGCAAGUAUUGACGCUGAGGCACGAAAGCGUGGGGAUCAAACAGG
rnacentral:rRNA from 1 species